rnacentral:rRNA from 1 species
AGUGAACGCUGGCGGUAGGCCCAACACAUGCAAGUCGAACGGCAGCACAGUAAGAGCUUGCUCUUACGGGUGGCGAGUGGCGGACGGGUGAGGAAUACAUCGGAAUCUACUUUUUCGUGGGGGAUAACGUAGGGAAACUUACGCUAAUACCGCAUACGACCUACGGGUGAAUGCAGGGGAUCUUCGGACCUUGCGCGAUUGAAUGAGCCGAUGUCGGAUUAGCUAGUUGGCGGGGUAAAUGCCCACCAAGGCGACGAUCCGUAGCUGGUCUGAGAGGAUGAUCAGCCACACUGGAACUGAGACACGGUCCAGACUCCUACGGGAGGCAGCAGUGGGGAAUAUUGGACAAUGGGCGCAAGCCUGAUCCAGCCAUACCGCGUGGGUGAAGAAGGCCUUCGGGUUGUAAAGCCCUUUUGUUGGGAAAGAAAAGCAGCAGGUUAAUACCCCGCUGUUCUGACGGUACCCAAAGAAUAAGCACCGGCUAACUUCGUG